UACAGAGACUGCAAGCGUUAUUCGGAUUCACUGGGCGUAAAGCGUGCGCAGGCGGUUCGUUAAGUCAGAUGUGAAAGCCCCGGGCUCAACCUGGGAACUGCAUUUGAAACUGGCGGGCUUGAGUGCGGCAGAGGGGGGUGGAAUUCCGCGUGUAGCAGUGAAAUGCGUAGAGAUGCGGAGGAACACCGAUGGCGAAGGCAGCCCCCUGGGCCGACACUGACGCUCAGGCACGAAAGCGUGGGGAGCAAACAGG
rnacentral:rRNA from 1 species